UAGGGAAUCUUCGGCAAUGGGGGCAACCCUGACCGAGCAACGCCGCGUGAGUGAAGAAGGUUUUCGGAUCGUAAAGCUCUGUUGUAAGUCAAGAACGAGUGUGAGAGUGGAAAGUUCACACUGUGACGGUAGCUUACCAGAAAGGGACGGCUAACUACGUGCCAGCAGCCGCGGUAAUACGUAGGUCCCGAGCGUUGUCCGGAUUUAUUGGGCGUAAAGCGAGCGCAGGCGGUUAGAUAAGUCUGAAGUUAAAGGCUGUGGCUUAACCAUAGUAGGCUUUGGAAACUGUUUAACUUGAGUGCAGAAGGGGAGAGUGGAAUUCCAUGUGUAGCGGUGAAAUGCGUAGAUAUAUGGAGGAACACCGGUGGCGAAAGCGGCUCUCUGGUCUGUAACUGACGCUGAGGCUCGAAAGCGUGGGGAGCGAACAGGAUUAGAUACCCUGGUAGUCCACGCCGUAAACGAUGAGUGCUAGGUGUUAGGUCCUUUCCGGGACUUAGUGCCGCAGCUAACGCAUUAAGCACUCCGCCUGGGGAGUACGACCGCAAGGUUG
rnacentral:rRNA from 1 species